rnacentral:rRNA from 1 species
UACGUAGGGGCCGAGCGUUGUCCGGAGUUACUGGGCGUAAAGCGCGCGCAGGCGGUCGCUCAAGUCGCGUGUGAAAGCCCCCGGCUCAACUGGGGAGGGUCACGCGAUACUGAUCGACUGGAAGGCAGGAGAGGGUAGUGGAAUUCCCGGUGUAGUGGUGAAAUGCGUAGAGAUCGGAAAGAACACCAACGGCGAAAGCACUCUGCUGGGCCGACACUGACACUGAGAGACGAAAGCUAGGGGAGCGAAUGGG